CCUACGGGAGGCAGCAGUGGGGAAUAUUGCACAAUGGGCGAAAGCCUGAUGCAGCAACGCCGCGUGAGCGAUGAAGGCCUUCGGGUCGUAAAGCUCUUUCCUCAAGGAAGAUAAUGACGGUACUUGAGGAUGAUGCCCCGGCUAACUACGUGCCAGCAGCCGCGGUAAUACGUAGGGGGCUAGCGUUAUCCGGAAUUACUGGGCGUAAAGGGUGCGUAGGUGGUUUCUUAAGUCAGAGGUGAAAGGCUACGGCUAAACCGUAGUAAGCAAUUGAUACUGGGGAACUUGAGUGCAGGAGAGGAGGGUGGAAUUCGUAGUGUAGCGGUGAAAUGCGUAGAUAUUAGGAGGAACACCAGUGGCGAAGGCGGCUUACUAGACUGUAACUGACGUUGAGGCUCGAAAGCGUGGGGAGCAAACAGGAUUAGAUACCCCGGUAGUC
rnacentral:rRNA from 1 species